rnacentral:pre_miRNA from 1 species
GGAUGUCAAAUUGACUCUAGUAGGGAGUCCGUUUAAUGCGCGACUCCCUAAUCGAGUCAGGUUGACUUCCUC